rnacentral:rRNA from 1 species
CAGUAACGGCGAGUGAAGCGGCAACAGCUCAAAUUUGAAAUCUGGCUCCUUCGGGGUCCGAAUUGUAAUUUGUAGAGAGUGCUUCGGGCGAGACCUCGGUCUAAGUCCAUUGGAACAUGGUGUCAUAGAGGGUGAGAAUCCCGUAUGCGACCGUGGCUCGAGCCCAUGUGAAGCCUCUUCGACGAGUCGAGUUGUUUGGGAAUGCAGCUCAAAAUGGGUGGUAAAUUUCAUCUAAAGCUAAAUACUGGCUGGAGACCGAUAGCGCACAAGUAGAGUGAUCGAAAGAUGAAAAGCACUUUGGAAAGAGAGUCAAACAGUACGUGAAAUUGUUGAAAGGGAAAGCGCUUGCAACCAGACCUGCCCCGUAGGGCGAUCAGCCGCUGUUCUCAGCGGUGUACUCGCUCUGCGAUCAGGCCAGCAUCGGUUUCGGCGGUCGGAUAAAGACCUUGGGAAUGUAGCUUCCCUUCGGGGAAGUCUUAUAGCCCUCGGUGUAAUGCGGCCAGCCGGGACCGAGGACCGCGCUUCGGCUAGGAUGCUGGCGUAAUGGUUGUAAGCGACCCGUCUUGAAACACGGACCAAGGAGUCUAACAUCUAUGCGAGUGUUUGGGUGUCAAACCCAUACGCGGAAUGAAAGUGAACGGAGGUGAGAACCCUUAAGGGCGCAUCAUCGACCGAUCCAGAAGUCUUCGGAUGGAUUUGAGUAUGAGCAUAGCUGUUGGGACCCGAAAGAUGGUGAACUAUGCCUGAAUAGGGUGAAGCCAGAGGAAACUCUGGUGGAGGCUCGCAGCGGUUCUGACGUGCAAAUCGAUCGUCAAAUUUGGGUAUAGGGGCGAAAGACUAAUC